rnacentral:rRNA from 1 species
UACGAAGGGGCUAGCGUUGCUCGGAAUCACUGGGCGUAAAGCGCACGUAGGCGGAUUGCUAAGUCAGGGGUGAAAUCCUGGAGCUCAACUCCAGAACUGCCUUUGAUACUGGCGAUCUUGAGUCCGGGAGAGGUGAGUGGAACUGCGAGUGUAGAGGUGAAAUUCGUAGAUAUUCGCAAGAACACCAGUGGCGAAGGCGGCUCACUGGCCCGGUACUGACGCUGAGGUGCG